ACAUGACCCACAUAUUAACAAAGCACAAAUACUGAGGGACUACAUGACAGCUUUGGUGCACAACAUUGGACCAUCAUCACCAUUAUGGACCAAUUUAUCAAGCCAAAAUACUUCGAAAACAAUCAUAUCAGUGGACAUCUGUCCUCAGCAAGCAUCAAAUUCGGUGGAUUGUGGGCCUGCAGUUUGUUACAUCAUGAGGGCACAUGUAUAUCGUGAAGACAUUGUUGCCAGCCUAGAUCGCUUUGAAUGGUGUCAAAUAAGAGACUCAUUAGUACACCUUUUUCUGAACCACAGAAAGACAGUGCAAU